GAACACAGGGUGUGGACUCUGACCGGACCAGUUUCUGGCAGUCCUGCCUGCUUGCGAAUGGGAGCAGCUUCUGGGAAGAUGGGGUUCGUCAUUCUGGAUAUACAAUAACCACAAAGGAUGGGGUGAUCCUAGCCCAGGACCUUCCUUUUGGCUGCUCUGAACUAUGGGCUGAGCUCUGGACACUCAUACAGGCAUUCUGAUGGACAAAGGGUAAAAAGGUAAAUAUAUACAGACUCUCACUAUGCAUUUGCUCCAUUUGCUCCAUGGCAUGAUACAUCAAGGGUGAGGUCUUCUCACAACAGAAGGGAAGCAAAUAAAAAAAAUUGAAAGAAAAUUGUACAGUUGCUAAAGGCCAUGUUGGAACCUAACAAAGUCACAGUAAUACAUUGUUCAGGACAUCAGAAAAACAAAAACUUCAUUACACAUGGUAACCAUAAGGCUGACACUGAAACAAAGACAACUACAAAAAAAAAAGAAGAAAGACAACUACUCAAAGCACUGCUCUCACCAAUCCAGAGGCUGGUGAGUCAAUGCAUGUCUGAAGAAUAGGAGUACUGGGAAAGGCAGCAUGGACUUUUUUGCUAUGCCAGAUCGCUACUGCUCUGAGUUUCUUUGUUUUCAAAUUGUGAAUGUUUAAGCAUAGUGAUAAAAAAGUUUGAUGAAAAAUAUGUAACUUUUAAAAUGGUAAAAUGAAAACCACAGUGCUAUCCUUUUACAAUGCUCUUGGAUGCCUGCCCAAAGGAACAUUACGGGGGCCUGGGGUAACUUCUGACUGUGGGAACUAUUCUAAUGAGAAAUUGUAUUGCAAAGAGAAAACAAGCUUAGAUCAACGGAUCCUUUGUUGGAUGAACCAUUGGUAAUUGUAACAAUUGUAAACAAGGUCAAUGUAAUCCUAUAUCUAUGUAUAUGCCACCCCAUGGGAUUCCAUUUGGCUACAAGGAGUAAUAUAUUUCUUUAGAACCAGAAAGUUUAAAAAAAAGAUCUUUAGGAAAUUUGAGUUCCACUUCAGGCUUUAGAAACUCAGUUAGAUUCUUUAGCAAAUGUUGUGCUACAGAAUAGGCAUGCUUUCAAUUUGCUAAUGGCCCAGAAAGGAGAGACUUGCUUAUUCCUUGGUAAAAAAAUAUUGUUUUUAUGCUAAUGAAUCUGGUAUAGUACAAGGAUCACUUGACAAACUGAAAAAUUGGAUCAAGGCUCUUGAUGAAAAAUUUGAUAUGAGAGCCAUCUUAUGGGAUUAAUUUUACUUGGAUGGGAUACAAAGCUUGGAUAGGACCACUUUGGAGUCCCCUUCUUGUUAUAAUAUUAGUAUUGAUGCUUGGUCCUUGUGUUAUUCAAUGGAUCUCAAGAUUUAUACAGCAGUGUAUUGCUGCUGCUCAACACUAUCAAAUGCUAGUAUUAAGAACUACAGAUGAGUUAGAUAUAACAUACUACGGAUAGAUUUAUCCUGAAGUAGACAAAGGGAGGAAUAAUAGGGAAAAGUUUUAAAGUAAAUUUAGUACAUUAGCUGUUAAAGUAGUUAUGGAGGCAAAACAGGUAGUGUAUCCCUUUAAAAGCUUGCCUUAGCCCGUUACUUCUGCUGUGUAAAGUGAAGGUUAUAUAGCUCCUUUAAUCUGUAGCUCCACCGUAGAUAAAUCCUAGCUCUGAAAAACAAAGUGGGAAUCCUUGAACAAACUUGUGAUGUAUAUGCCUUAACUGUCAUGUGUUUAGGACUAUAAUCAGUGACAGAAACCACCUGUGUCUAACCAUUAAACAGGAACUGGAAAUUUAUUUACUUAAGAAAGACCACUAGGGAUGAGAUAAUGACUGACAAAAGUAUAAACGGUGAUGGACAAGGAACACAGGGCAUGGACUCUGACCAGACCAGUUUCUGGCAGUCCUGCCUGCUCAUGAGUAAAGCUUUGUUUUUCUACCCAACUUUGGUGUCUCUGUGCAUUUCUUUCUACGAUUCCCAAACAGUGUCACUGGUCAGAUGUGUAUUUUGCCAAAAUAUUCUUCCAUUGUGUGGACUGUGCAUUCAGUUUAUUUUUAUGUUUUUUAUAAUUUUAAAAUUACAGUUAAAUGCACCUAAAAUCAAAUCUCACAUCCUUAUUACUUUGAAGUAUAGUGCUCACCAGUGCUAUGCACAUUCACAUUGGAAACCCAUCUCCAGAAAUCUCUGCAUCUUGCACAACUGAAAGUCUGUACCCAUUUAACCACUUCCUCUUCAUGUCUUUGUCAAGCUUCUGCCAACCACUAUGCUUCUUUCUCUCUCUAUGAACUUGGCUGUACUAGAUUAUUCAUAUACAUGAAAUUAAACAAUAUUUGUUCUUUUAUCCCUGUCUUAGAAUAAAGUCCUCAGGUC
ensembl:lncRNA